CAUAUGACCAGUGUACAAUGCAGUUCACCCAUUGCCAAAAAGUGAUUACACUCAAUAUCUCUUUACUGAAUGGCUCUUUCUGCCUAAUUUUAAUUUCUUUACACUCUUCUGGGUUGUAUUUACAUGAUUAGUAAACAUCUAACCCAUUUUUAUGACUUAAAACACCUCUAUAGGACCAGUAUAAUGUAGUUCACCCAUUGCCAAAAAGUGAUUACACUCAAUAUCUCAUUACUGAGUGGCUCUGUCUGUCUGACAGUUUCUUCUAGUAGCCUCCAUAGCAAGGACUGAGGUCCCACAAUGACACAUACACCACACAUACUACUACUACUGCAACAAAUGAAUUCAUCUGCUCUUUUUUACAUUGUAAAUCUCAGGGCAUGCCUCUGUACUGUCUAUAUUUAUGACUGUUCUCUUUAUGACUUAUUGUGUGUUUUGUAAUCUCCAUUUGUUUAUCACUACUAUUACUAAUAACUGACCAACACACAUUUCUUGUAUUCCAAACAUGCUUUGCAAGCAAACAAUUUCUGAGGAAGAUUCUGAUGUAAAAUCACUUUUAAAAGAUUUUGACCAUUUGUGUAAUUAUUAAAGGCACAGUUAAAAUGCUCUAAUAAGGGCAACCCUUAUGGGUUACUUGGCACUCAUUAAAGCUUUGUUACGUUAAGGUAACAAAAAAGACAAUUACUUUUUCUGCAACAGGUAAAAGAUGUUUCAACCACUAUUGUUACCAGCUAGUGGGCCACAUACAAUAAUUCUAACUUGUUUAAAAAUGUAUCAUUUAUUCACAGUUUGCUGAGUGCAUCUUGCUUGGUUGUUCAGUGUCAUUUGACAAUUCAUCCUUAAGCAUGAAUGCCACAAGAGAGCAGAUUGCUGUAUGUCUUCUUCAGAAUACAGAAGACCUGAUUGACCUUUGUCAAUUCUGUGGGGAGCAGGCUGGUGACACUAAUUGGAUUGGCUGUAACAUUUGUCCAAGAUGGUACCACAGGGGCUGUGUCAACAAACCUAGAAAAAAGCAGUAUUUGCGAGGCCUGCGAGUAAAGUCUAUUCUUCACCCUGGUGUCUUGUACAUAUAUUAGUUCUUCUUGCAUGUAUAUAGUUUUUAAUAUUUUGGUCUUACAAGCAUCUGUUUUUAUUUUAGCACUAAGUAUUGAAAAAUAAACACGUUGAAAGUAAUACAAAGUUCUGUUUUGAUUUAUAUUUUUUUGCUUCUAUGUUUUUUGGGGAAAUAUUAAGAAAACCCUAUGUCCAACCACAUUUAUUUUAUCGAAGAUAAGAACACUCCUAAACUUAAGAAAUCUAAUCCUGUAAAUAUAACCCAGAAGAGUGUAAAACAAUUAAAGUCAGGCAGAAAGAGCCAUUCAGUAAUAAGAUUUUGACUGUAAUCACUUUUUGGCAAUAGGAAAACUGCGUUGUACAAGUUAUACGGGUCCUAUAGAGGUGUUUAAAGUCAUAAAAAUGGGUUAGUUGUUUACUAAUCAUGUAAAUAAAUCUAACAAGAGGCCUAUAAAGUUAAACUGAAGCAGAAAAUGUAUGUCAGUAAAAAGGUAUUGAGUGUAAUCACUUUUUGGCAAUCGGUGAACUGCAUUAUACUGGUCAUAUGGAGAUGUUUAAAGUCAUAAAAAUGGGUGAGAUGUUUACUAAUCCUGUAAAUACAACCCAGAAGAGUGUAAAAAUUUUUAAAUCAGGCAGAAAGAGCCAUUCAGUAAAGAGAUAUUGAGUGUAAUCACUUUUUGGCAAUGGGUGAAC